UGCUGCCAUAUCUCCUCUGAUAGCUUUGCUCGGUGACGACAUGUCCUUUGGCUAACUUGGCUCUGAUACCAAAUGUUUGUUCCAGUUUAAUGGAUCGCUAAAGGAUAAAUUGAAAUAAAAUAAGACUAGACUUUUGGGAAUUCUCUUUAUAUUAUUUUGAAAGAGGAAAGGAUACAAGUUUGGAGUGUGUCUUACAUUGCAGCACAACGCCCAAUUUAUACUAACCAAUGGAUACCGAAAAAAAAAGAAAAUGUACACAAUAAAGGCAAAGAGAAUUGUAGGCAUUAAGUGUCAUCAAUUCACGUCUAUUUUAAGACCUAUAUUUAUUCCACUAAUUGUGUAAUUCAUUUAUGCCUAUUAUAAGACCACUAAUUGAGUAAUCAAUUCAUGCCUAUAUUUAUUCCACUAAUUGAGUAAUCAAUUCAAGAUUAGACUCAUAAAAUCUUUACUGGGCUGCCCUCAUCCUGUGCCCUCUAGUGCUUCGUCUCGUCUACCCUCAUCCCGUGCCCUCUAGUGCUUCGUCUACCCUCAUCUCGUGACUCUUUCGAUCGCUCCCGCAUCUCCUCUGCCCUACCCUAGGUCCCUCUUCAAUCGCUCUCGCCUUUCUUCUCGUCCUCCUCCCUCUGAUCCCUGGUUGUGUUGCUCUGUACAGACUGUCCGCCAUCAUAAGCGGCUGAUAUCAACACAGUUGCAUUCUCCUAAAGCUCUGUCUCCUCUCUGCUUAAACUGGCAAGGGAAGAACAUACCACCACCUAAUCGAGCGCAGGAACUAUUGCUCCAUUGCUUCUCUGCGUCAAUUAUUUUCUUGCCCUUGUUUGAUUUCUUUCUUUCUUUUUUGUUAUCGCUAACAGGGACGUGCUCCGAUCCGAUUUCGGUUCCUCCUGGAGGUUCAAAUCUUGUUCUCUUCAAGAGGAUGUUGAGAAUUGACGGUGUAUUGGAGAAGGAAGUAAUUGAUAUGGAGAUAGUCAAGAAAGUAGAAAAGUAACUCAGAAGGUUUCUUCUGAUGUGGCUGAAUCACUACCGGCUGAUAGCAACCUAAACAAAUUUACUAUCGAUGUGGAAAACGAGGCAGAAGAAUUGAGUGGUAUAAAAUGCCGAAUGAAAGCCCCAUCUCGACACUCGGAAGAAGGAAUAAUAGAGUUCGAUCAACAACUGCAUACAUGUUGGGGUGCCAACCUCCUUGUGGCCACCCGAUGAAGGCUACAAAAAAAAUAUUUACAAAUUUCUUAGAAAAUAACACUAAG